AAACCAACUCUAUUUUCCACCAACCAGCAAGAAAGGUUUAUUCUCAAGGUAUAUGCCUUUUCUCAAGGUAUAUGCCUUUUAGCCUUUUAGGUCAUCUUUGAGAUUUUUGUAGUUUUGUGGUAAAAUAGGGCUUUCAUGGUAUUGAUUGGCCACCAAAUACAUAUGCUCUUCUUCUUGUCUUAGACUAAUGGCAGACACCCUUCUCAAACUGUUACUUCAACUACUCUCUACUUUUCCCCAUAGCUCAAGGCCGGGGGUAACAUUUGUUGUGCAGCCAUGGAUAUGUUUGUUGAUGGUCAUCUAAUCGAUAUCUUAAUGUUUGGCAUGAACAUAUGACAUAAUGGUUAGAUGCCCAUCAACGAACACAUCCAUGAUAUAUUGCGUUCCUCUCCUCCUCACACACUCCUCUUUUGCUCCUCAAAACUCUUUUCCUUGACUGGUGUCUGUUGUUCAGGAAGCAUUCGAAGCCACUUGUUGGGAAGCCGAAUCCCCACCGUGUGCACAAAGACUUCUGGGGUCAAUCAUUUCAAAGCGUGGAUGUUUCGUCUUUACAGUGUCCGUUUUCACAAUCUUUCAGAGGUGGUGACCGAGGCUGUGCUUGAAAUCAACUCUGCUCUUUUAAGAUCCAU